rnacentral:misc_RNA from 1 species
GAUGAAGAACGCAGCGAAAUGCGAUAAGUAAUGUGAAUUGCAGAAUUCAGUGAAUCAUCGAAUCUUUGAACGCACAUUGCGCCCCUUGGUAUUCCGAGGGGCAUGCCUGUUCGAGCGUCAUUAUAACCCCUCAAGCUCAGCUUGGUGUUGGGGCCUGCUGCACUGGCAGCCCUUAAAAUCAGUGGCGGCGCCAUCUGGCUCUAAGCGUAGUAAUUCUUCUCGCUAUGGAGUCCUGGUGGAUGCUUGCCAUCAACCCCCAAUUUUUCUAUGGUUGACCUCGGAUCAGGUAGGGAUACCCGCUGAGCUUAAGCAUAUCAAUAAGCGGAGGA